CAGAGGUCCCGAGCGUUGUUCGGACUCGACUGGGCGUAAAGGGUGCGUAGGUGGCGAGGUAAGUCGGAUGUGAAAGCUCGGAGCUCAACUCCGAAAUGGCAUUGGAAACUACCUUGCUCGAGGGUUGAGGGGGGACUGGAAUGCUUGGUGUAGCAGUGAAAUGCGUAGAUAUCAAGCGGAACACCAGUGGCGAAGGCGAGUCCCUGGACAACUCCUGACACUGAGGCACGAAAGCUAGGGGAGCAAACAGGAUUAGAUACCCUGGUAGUCCUAGCCGUAAACGGUGCUUGCUUGCUGUAAAAGGAAUCGACCCCUUUUGUGGCGGAGCCAACGCGUUAAGCAAGCCGCCUGGGAAGUACGGUCGCAAGAUUA
rnacentral:rRNA from 1 species